GAAUCUUAGAGCAACAUAAGCAGACACAAUUGACUGGAACUGUGAUUUUUUGUGACAAUACUUCCUCAAUCAAGCUUUCAAAAAAUCUUGUCAUGUAUGGUAGAUGCAAACAUAUAGAUGUCAGAUAUCAUUUUCUCAGAGAUUUGAACAAAGAUGGAACUGUGCAGAUGAGUUUCUGCUCAUCACAAGAUCAGAUAGCAGAUAUCAUGACCAAAGCAUUGAAGCUAGAAACAUUCUGCAAUUUGAGAGCUAAAUUGGGAAUGUGUUAUUUGAUUGAAGUAACUAGAUGAUGAUGUGUUUGUAAUCUGUACUUUAAACAAGUUCAGAUUAGGAGAGGAUGUUAAGCAAUGUAAAAGCACCAUUAAUGGCUUCCAUUCACAAAUCGUUCGAUCCUUCAACAAUAAAUCAUUCUCAGAAAUCCUUCAUUUCAGAAUUGUUCAAUCGAGUUUCAGAAUCGUUCAACCCUAGUUUCAUUUCAACAAAGCUUCGAUUCAAUUUCUCAGAAAUCCUUCAUUUCAGCAUCAUUCAACUUGAAUUGUUCAAUUGAGUUUCAAAAUCGUUCAACCCUAGUUUCAACAAAGCUUCGAUUCAGCUUCUCAGAAAUCCUUCAUUUCAGCAUCGUUCAACUUCAGAGUUGUUCAAUUGUGUUUCAGUUAUCUCAUUCGGAAUCGUUCACGGUUCAUCACUCAUUUAACCUUCAAAUUCUUCGUUGGUAAUUAGACUUAGGUAUUUCAAACUUUCCGACGGCCGCAAUGUUGAGACAAAGCUAAUAUGAACAGAGCUAAUAUGAAAUGAUUAAUUCACACUGUAAUGAGCUUUUCAAUGUUGAGAUUUUGGAGGAAGGUAGUGGAAUAAAGAAUCGUGUUGUUUGACAUAGAUCAAAGCUCGAACUUUACACAGAGUGUAACAGGAUCUCAUCUUGGGCAUGCGGUUUUACACGAACUGUUGUUCUUCAAUAUCUCAUCUUGGGCCUGCGGUUUUACACGAACUGUUGUUCUUCAAUGAUUCUAUCCUGGUGUUACUGAUGCAUUAAAAUUUGCAAGCACAAGAGUGUACAAUGUACAUUGUCACCACAAAACAGUUUAGCAGCGGUAGUACAAAGAUAGGACCUCGUAAGAAUUCAAUGACUUAUGCAGAGAAAGGAGUGCUUCAUUUUGGGUUGUGAACAUGUUUGUUCUUUCUGAUUAAUAAAUUGGUAAUUAGGUAUAUAUUUUGAUUAUUCAAAUUAGGUAUUCCAAUUAUUUAUUCAUGUGAGUGUUUUGGUAGAUUUGUAUGUUUUGAUUACAUCAACCGACAUUACUAUAAGCUUUUGACGAAAAUUAGUAAUAUGACCAAAAUGCUCAAACAUGUUUGACUAAUUUCCUUUGGUGGCUAAUCUCUAAUGAGAAUAACAUCUUUAUAUGAGAAUGAUUGGAAAGUGAAAGUGUCGAAAUGCAAAGUGAAUUGUGAAUGAAUGUUAAGGACCUUUUUCAACAACUUAGAAUAAUUCUACUAGAUGCAACUGUGUUUAAUAUUAAUAUUAUCAAUCUAGUACUUUUACUUAAACCUUUAAUUCCAAUCCAAUAUUCUUGUUCAGAUUCACAAAAGCUUGAACUAAGAACACCUUUCUGAUUGAUACCCUGUUCAUAAUGUUAGCUACACUUAUCCACACAUUGUAGUAACUGAUCCAUGUGUUUGAGUUUCAAGAUGGCUUUGUGAAUAGCAUGGACUAUCACCUGAACGAAAAGACAGUUGGAAAGCAUCUAACCAUGAUUUUGAGGAGAAAUAUGCAUUCCUCUUGACCAAGAGAUGUCAUUACCGGCUUUUCAAAACUUCACAACCAUUACUAGUUUUGAACAACUCCACCGCGUAAGAGCGGUCAACACCAACUCUACUCAACCAUUUUGUCAUAGCUUAGACAAAUUUUGAAUUGGAGUUUCUUAAUGAUUAAUACGUUUUGAUGAUUUGAUUUA